GUGAGACUGUGAAUUCUUCAAAAGCAGGUACUGUGUUUAAUGAAGUGUGCCCAGGACUUUGCUCAGUGACUGGAUGACACAGUAGGAGUAACAAGAAAGUUCACAUGGGUGAACCGUGGUAGGUGGACAUCGUCUCUCUCACCUCUUCCCAAAUCAAGGAUGAAGUACAUCUUCAUAAAUCCUCAUGUGAAUUAUUUUGCUACCUCUAGAAGCAUUUUCUAAAACAAGGUGCAGCAAUCAGUUGAGUGAAUUUGUCACCAGAGCUUAUGUUUUCUGAAAGAACCCUAUCCUCAGGCAGUUGUUCCUAAGAGGUCAGGCUGCAUUUGUAUCCUGGGUCCACAAGACAUCGUUUCCUUAAAACCAAUCCCCCUGAUUUUGCUAAGGACCCCACUGGAAAUCGGACUGUUCAACUCACCUGGCAGCCACUCACAGAGCCCGUGGAACUCUGGCCCAAGGCUCUCUGACUCCUUCUCGGCUUAGCGGCUAAAGACUGACACUGCCCGAUCGCCUCGGAAGCCCCGUAGACCAUCACGGACGCCGAGCUUUAGGUAACUCUCACAGUGGAGGAUGAAGAAACUGAGGUCCAGAGAAGUUAAACGACCUUCCUAAGAUUACACAGCUUAGUAAGUGGCAGAACCACAGCUGGAAGCCAGGUCCUUCCUCACGCAAGUCCUGGCUCAUUCAUUCCUCUUCCAAAGACUUGCUGAGCACCUUCUAGGUGCCAGAUGCGGUGCUGGCUCCUGGGGACAUGGGAGUGAACAGGCCAGGCGUGGCCCUGAACCAUCAAAUAGACAACCACAGAAAUAACAACAACAAAGACAAAACCGGGCCCUUCCACACAGUAGCUGGAACACAAAGGAAGAUCAGCCAAGCCUCAACAUAAUCUCAUAAAAAUUCUUCAAAUAUCCCAUUGUUAUGGAUUCAUACAUCAGGAAAGCAGAUGCCAAGAACCUGAACACCUUCUACUGGUAACAUAUAUUUUGGCGAGCCAGCCUGGAGACAAGACCACUAUGGGCAACUUCCUGUCUAUUCUACCUGGUGUCACUGUGGACAACUUCCUAUCUAUUCCACCCGAUUCACCGCUUGGCUACAUCCUCCACCAUUGGGAUGAAUUUGACCCUAACAAUCUAAAGAAAAGGCAUAUGAUUUUUUACUGCAAUAUUGUUUGACACAAUUAUGAGCUGCCCAAUCCGGAACAAUGGGCAGUCAAUGGUAGCCUUAAUUAUGAUACCAUCCUGUAUCUAGACCUAUUUUACAAGAGGCAGGGCAAAUGGUCAGAAGUCCCACAUAUACAGGCCUACAUGACCCUAUACGAAGACCUAAGAAUCUAGGAAACUCCCAGAACCCAUCCCCCGAAGGAAAGUUCUGGGGCAGAACUAGAUAUUAUAGAUGAACCCCCUUUUACAAGGGAUACCUGUCUCUCAGAGUGAGCAGUGACUGUCCCCAUAUAACCCCUCACCAAGUGCUCCUGAGGCUGAAACCCAGGGGCAAACAUGGGGAACCCUACUAAGUCCCCCUCACACUUGGAGGGGAACACUGUAUUCAACUCUCUAUCCAGCCCUGCUACUCUCAGAGAAAUAGCAGGGGCUGAGGGGCCAAUCCUAGUGUGGGUCCCCUUCUCUAUGAUUGAUAUACAACAAUGUAAGGAAAAGCUAGGAAGCUAUUCUGAGGAUUCCGGGAAGUUUGCAGAUGGGUUCCAAACUUUGACCUUAGCCUUUGAUCUCUCAUGGAGAGACGUUCAAUUCACUCUAGCAACCUGUUGCACCUCCUCGGAAAAGGAACGAAUCUUUGAGGCUGCCCUCCGAGAAGUGGACGAAUUAUUCACCCAAAACCGUAAAGGCAGUCACCCAGGCCCAGCCACAGUUCCCACUACGCAUCCUAAUUGAGACCAAGACACCCCCGCAGGAAGGAACAACUGGGCUAAAUUUCUUGAGGCUCUUGGAGGAAUGAGAAAGGGAAUAACUAAGGCAGUAAAUUAUGAUAAAGUAAGGCAGAUUACACAAGGCAGGGAGGAAAACCCAGCUGUGUUUUACGGCAGGCUGCGGGAAGCCUUUAAAAAAUAUAUACUAAUUUGGUCCCUUCCUCUCCUGAAGGCAAGUUAUUAAUGGCACAACGUUUCAUUAGCCAAUCCACACCAGACAUUAGACGUAAGCUCCAAAAGCUACACAUGGGGCCACAAACUAACCAAAAUCAGCUUCUUGGUACUGCCUUCAUGGUGUAUAACAAUCGUGACCUGGAGGAAGGAGAAGGGAAACAGAGUAAAGAAAAACGGCAAGCCAAAAUUAUGUUAGCCAUCACUGGUGAUGCCCUAAAUGCACAAAGAUUGUCCAAGGGAAACUCAAAGGGCCAUAAGGAUAAUGCCAGCAAAGGCUCUUGCUUCAAAUGCAAUAAAAGUGCGAUUGGGCACAGGAAUCCACUAAGCCCCCGCCAGUCCCCUGCCGUCAAUGUAAAAGCACCAGUUGUGGCUCCUGGCCCUGGAGAAUUGACUGUCCCUGCUCCCACCAAGGGGCUCAGUCAGUCAAAACUCUGGCAGUGCACAAGGAGGAAUCAGAUGAAGACUGAAGGGGCCUGGGGCCUUCCUCACUGCCCCGUCUAGGAACAUUGUAAUUACUACUGAGGAACCCUGGGUAACUCUGGACAUCAUGGCCACCCAAAUUCAGUUUUUAUGUGAUACCAAGGUGAAUUAUUCUGUACAACUGCUUAUGCAGGAAAACUUUCCUCCCGGUCCAUGAGUGAUAUUGGAUGGAAGGGAAGCCACAAACAAGAUUCUUACUCCUCCUUUGGUUUGUCAAUUUGAGAAACAAAUCUUCCAACAGGAAUUUUUAGUAGUACCAAGCUGCCCAAUUCCCCUGUGGGAAAGAGAUAUUAUGGUGAAAAUAGUGACACUACUGCAAUUUAAGCAAUAUUAGCAGGUGAAACUGCUAAUAGUAAGAAAUAAGGCAAUGUCCCAGACCAUGUCAAUAAACAGGUUAACCCACUGGCAUGGUAUACUGGAAACCCAGGGAAGGCUAAAACAGCAGUGCCAGUCAAAAUACAGCUUAAAGACCCCAGCCAUUUUCCCAAUGGAAAACAAUACCCAGUUGAACAGGAAGCAAGCAAAGGUCUAGCUCCCAUAGUUGAGAUAUUACUUACCCAUGGACUCUUAAAACCCUGCAAUUCUCCCUGCAAUACCCCCAUCUUACCUGUUCUCAAGCCUGGGGGGAAUACCAGCUAGUACAGAACCUCAGAAUAAUGAAUGAGGCUGUUAUCCCCGUCCACCCAUUGGUGGCAGAUCCAUAUGCCCUCCUGGCUCAGGUGCCAGGGCAUGCAAAAUGGUUCUCAGUCCUAGACCUUUCUUCUCCAUUCCUCUGGCCCCGAGCCCCCCAGUACCUUUUUGCUUUCGAAUGGGAAAAUCCUAAUACCAGAUAAAAACAAUACACUUGGACAGUGCUUCCUCAGGGCUUUCGGGAUAGCCCCCACUUCUUUGCCUGAGCAUUAGAGCGGGAUCUGAGGGAUUUCAAGUUAGAAAAUGGAGGUAUUCUUCAGUAUGGGGAUGACCUUGUGUGUAGCCCAACCUAGGAGGUUUCUGACCAAAAUACUAUAAAAACUUUGAAUUUCCUGGCAGACAGAGGAUACAAAGUGUCCAAAAAGAAGGCUCAGAUUACCCUCCAAUGGGUCCACUAUUUAGGAUAUGUCUUAACACCCGGAACCCGGCAAAUAUCCCCAGAAGGAGUGCAAGCUAUAUGUGGUUUGGCCGCGUGCACCACCCCCAGCCCCCACCCUGACCCACCUCCAAGCAGCAGCUUUGUUCCUUUUUGGGGAUGGCCGGGCUUUGGAGAAUAUGAGUACCAAAUUUUGGGCUCAUAGCAAAGCCCCUAUAUGAAGCAACAAGGGGGCCUGAAAAUGAGCUAAUGGAAUGGACCCCGGAAAUGAGGAAAGCCUUUGCCAAGUUAAAACAGGUUCUCACCCAGGCUCCUGCUCUUGGUAUCCCAGACCUAAUUAAGGCCUUCUCCUUGUAUGUAGCAGAGAAGAGGGGCAUAGCUGUGGGAGUGCUAGCCCAGAAAUUAGGAUCAGAACCCAGACCAACCGCCUACUUCUCAAAAAAGUUGGACGGAGUGGCCUCAGGAUGGCCAAGUUGCCUGCGGGCAAUAGCAGCCACUGCUGUUAGUGGAGGAAGCCACUAAAAUCACCCUAGGGCAACCACUGGAAGUUCUAACGCUCCAUCAGGUAAAGUUAGUCUUAGAAAUAAAGGGACACAUCUGGAUGACAGGGGAAAUGUUAACUAAAUACCAGCCCAUGCUCCUAGACAAUCCAGAUAUAACUCUUAAAACCUGCAACACUUUAAAUCCAGCUUCAUUGCUGCCCACAGGCCCAAUAAUUGAUCAUUCCUGUGAGCAGGUCAUUGCACAUACAUAUGUUAGCCAGCCUGAUUUAAAAGAUGAGGCUCUCCCAGAUUCUGAAGCUGACCGGCUCACAGACGGCAGUAGUUCUUUGUCGAAUGGGGAGCACAGAGCUGGAUAUGCAGCAGUAAAUCAUGACACAAUUAUUGAAGCCCAGCCAGUGCCCCCUGGCACAUCAGCACAAAAGGCUAAAAUCAUUGAUCUUACUCAAGCAUUAAUGUUGGGACAAGGGAAAAAACUUAACAUCUAUACAGAUUCUAAAUAUGCAUUCCUUGUGGUUCAUGCUCAUACCGCCAUCAGGAAAGAAAGGGGAUUACUUACUAGCAAGCACUCCCCUAUAGAGCAUGGACCUGAAAUUCUGCAGCUAUUGAAGGCAAUACACCUGCCAAAGGCCAUAGCUAUCAUUCAUUGUAGGGGGCAUCAAAGGGACUUAACCCCUAUAGCACAAGGGAAUGGAAAGGCUGACGGAAGCCAAAGCAAAAGCCCUCAGCGUGCAAUCCCAACAGAUCCUAGCACUGCUUCCUUUCUACAAUUCCCCAGUAGAACCCAAAUACACACCACAGGAAGAACAGCUAAUAAAAAAAGCAAGGGAGACAAAAACAAGGAUCCUGGUGGCAUAUGGAGCCAAAAAUAUAUCUCCCUCAGGCAGCCCAGUGGAGAGUUAUAAAAGCCCUGCAUGACUCUUUCCAUGUGGGGAGGGAUGCGGCUCUGGCCAUGGUAAACAAGUUCUUUACUGGGUUUAACUCAGCUUCAAUGGCUAAGCAGGUCUGUCAAGCCUGCUCACUGUGUGCAUUUAACAAUCCAGGCAUCAAAAUGCCCCCUCUAAUAAAACCAGUCCAAAGGAGGGGAACUUAUCCAGGGGAAGACUGGCAGUUAGACGUCAUCCAUAUGCCAGCUUGCAGAGGAUACAAGCUUUUGUUAAUACUAAUAGAUACUUUUAGGUUGGGUCAAAGGUUACCCCAGAAAAGGCUAAUGAGGUUCUAAGGUCCUCUUAAAAGAAAUAAUUCCCCAGUUUGGGUUACCUCAGGGUCUCCAAAGUGAUAAUGGCUAAUCCUUUAUCUCCCAAAUAACUCAAGGGGUUGCUAAGGCUCUUGGAAUAAAAUACUAUUUACAUUCAGCCUGGAGGCCCCAAUCCUCUGGAAAAGUGGAAAGGGUUAACCAAACUCUAAAAUAAGCACUAGCUAAACUAUGUCAGGAAACAUCAGAAACUUGGGUUAGCUUAUUGCUCACAGCCCUUUUAAGAAUUUGUAAUACCCCUAGCUCAAAAAUUAACAGAAGCCCAUAUAAAAUGUUAUACAGAAGGCCAUUCUUAACUAAUGAUUUAAUUAUUGACCCAGAAAGAGUUGGUGUAAUUAAAUACCUAGUCAACCCAGAACAAUUCCAGCGGGUUUACAAGAGUUUGGAAUUCAAAGGCUCCUCACACUUGGAACUAACCAGCAACCCAAAAUCAGGCCAGGAGAUAGGGUACUUGUUAAAACAUGGAAUGAGGGAUCACCUGCCCAACAAUUACAACCCCAAUAGAAGGGACUUUUUUCAGUAAUACUGGCCACGUCUUCUGUGGUCAAAGUACUAGUAUUAGAUAGCUGGAUACAUCUUUCAAGGAUCAAACCAUCAAUACCAGAAGCUCCAGACCAGGAACCUGAAGUUCCCAUCAGCCAGUACACCUGUGAACCAGUGGAGGACCUGAAGUACCUGUUUAAAAGAUAGCCAAAAGAUAAGUAAAUGCCUACCAACUUUCUUUGGUGUCUUUGUUGCAUAGUUACUGUGGGCUGGAAAAUAGUAGCCAUUUUUAUCUUUGCAGUUUAAUUGCCUUCUUCCAAAUAGAUAAAAAUCACUUCCUUUGUAAUAAUUAAACAGAAUUUAAAAAAUACAUUUCUAUGACAAAUAUUCCUGAUGGCAUAAGUAUCCACCCCAAGGUUCCCAUUAAAUCUUUUAACCUAAAGUAUUUCCUCUCACCUAGAGAUCAUCGAGCUGUGUGACAAGGGUGCCAGCCACUCCAGGUGAAGACACCACCCCAGGCCAUCAAGGAUCUUCCCUACCUUCACUAAACAGAGCAGGGUGAAAGUUGUGUGAUCCCCAAUAGGUAGGGACUACACCCCAAGUCAGCAGGAAGCAGUUACAGAAGAAAGACCAUUGGUCCCUCUGCUUCCCAUAAAGAUUUAUGGGGAUCACAGCUUUCACGGGGGAGAUGAGGCAAGAGAAUAGGGCAUGCAGGCAGGGUACUUGAGGCCAAUCCACGCUGACUUCCUAGAACUGAAUUAAAUGAAAGCUCCUCAGCAAUGACAGGAAUGUGAAUGGCUUUGUAACUUCUUCCUCUCCAUUAAUGCUAUUUCCACUUUGUAACUUCACUUUCAUCCUCUCCAUUUACAUAGAUCACACACCAAGUAACAUCCUCUCCAUUUACAGUAGGGCGCAUUCCGAGUCAAUGACUCUGACUGCACUUCGUUCUCCUCAUUUACAUAGAACAUUCGCCAAGUAACCAAUGGGAAACCUCUAGAGUAUUGAAACUCCAGAAAAUUCCGUAAGUGGGGCUCUUGAGCGUCUACACUCGGGUCGCUCCCACACUGUGGCGUGUACUUUUAUUCUCAAUAAAUUCCCGCUUUUGCUUUCCUCGUUC
rnacentral:lncRNA from 1 species